rnacentral:rRNA from 1 species
CACGUAGGGUGCGAGCGUUGUCCGGAAUUAUUGGGCGUAAAGAGCUCGUAGGCGGUGUGUCGCGUCGGCCGUGAAAACCUGCAGCUUAACUGUGGGCUUGCGGUCGAUACGGGCAUCACUGGAGUUCGGCAGGGGAGACUGGAAUUCCUGGUGUAGCGGUGAAAUGCGCAGAUAUCGGGAGGAACACCAAUGGCGAAGGCAGCUCGCUGGGACGGUACUGACGCUGAGGCGCGAAAGCGUGGGGA